rnacentral:tRNA from 1 species
AGUGCAAUGGGAUGGGAAUCGAACCCACGACCUUCCGCUUACCGGGCAGAUGCCAAGACCACUAGGCUAACCUGGAC